rnacentral:pre_miRNA from 1 species
AUUCUAAUUUCUCCACAUCUUUGGUAAUAAGUUUUGGCAAAGAUGUGGAAAAAUUGGAAUCC